GUGUGUGUGUGUGUGUGUGUGUGUGUGUUUGUAUUUGUGUUUGCAUUUAUCAUAUUGCAUCAUGAAAUCAAACGCAGAGUAUUUGUGUUUGUUUUUGUGUGUGUGUGUGUGUGUGUGUGUGUGUGUG